rnacentral:rRNA from 1 species
CCUACGGGUGGCAGCAGUGGGGAAUAUUGCACAAUGGGGGAAACCCUGAUGCAGCGACGCCGCGUGAGUGAAGAAGUAUUUCGGUAUGUAAAGCUCUAUCAGCAGGGAAGAAAAUGACGGUACCUGACUAAGAAGCCCCGGCUAACUACGUGCCAGCAGCCGCGGUAAUACGUAGGGGGCAAGCGUUAUCCGGAUUUACUGGGUGUAAAGGGAGCGUAGACGGUGAUGCAAGUCUGAAGUGAAAGCCCGGGGCGGAACCCCGGGACUGCUUUUGAAACUGUGUGACUGGAGUGCAGGAGAGGCAAGCGGAAUUCCUGGUGUAGCGGUGAAAUGCGUAGAUAUCAGGAGGAACACCAGUGGCGAAGGCGGCUUGCUGGACUGUAACUGACGUUGAGGCGCGAAAGCGUGGGGAGCAAACAGGAUUAGAUACCCCUGUAGUC